rnacentral:tRNA from 2 species
GGCAGGAUAGCUCAGGGGUAGAGCAGGGGACUCAUAAGCCCUUGGUCGGCGGUUCAAAUCCGCCUCCUGCUACCA